UGCGGUUACUCCACAAAAAUAACCGCCGUUUACCCAAAAAGGAGGAAACACACAACCGUUGGACUCACGGUGCGGCAGUGUGGAGACCUGUCGUAAUGCAGUGUCAUCAUUUUCUGGAUGACUGCGAGAAUACAAGCGCGGAGGCCUUGUAUUUAGAGUCGUAAUCGUAUGGCA
rnacentral:ncRNA from 1 species